UCCCUGGUGGCUCAGCUGGUAAAGUAUCCACCUGCAACGUGAGAGACCUGGGUUCAAUUCCUAGGUUGGGAA
rfam:TPA: Bos taurus chromosome 3, whole genome shotgun sequence.